CCUAACACAUGCAAGUCGAACGGUAACAGGAAGAAGCUUGCUUCUUUGCUGACGAGUGGCGGACGGGUGAGUAAUGUCUGGGAAACUGCCUGAUGGAGGGGGAUAACUACUGGAAACGGUAGCUAAUACCGCAUAACGUCGCAAGACCAAAGAGGGGGACCUUCGGGCCUCUUGCCAUCGGAUGUGCCCAGAUGGGAUUAGCUAGUAGGUGGGGUAACGGCUCACCUAGGCGACGAUCCCUAGCUGGUCUGAGAGGAUGACCAGCCACACUGGAACUGAGACACGGUCCAGACUCCUACGGGAGGCAGCAGUGGGGAAUAUUGCACAAUGGGCGCAAGCCUGAUGCAGCCAUGCCGCGUGUAUGAAGAAGGCCUUCGGGUUGUAAAGUACUUUCAGCGGGGAGGAAGGGAGUAAAGUUAAUACCUUUGCUCAUUGACGUUACCCGCAGAAGAAGCACCGGCUAACUCCGUGCCAGCAGCCGCGGUAAUACGGAGGGUGCAAGCGUUAAUCGGAAUUACUGGGCGUAAAGCGCACGCAGGCGGUUUGUUAAGUCAGAUGUGAAAUCCCCGGGCUCAACCUGGGAACUGCAUCUGAUACUGGCAAGCUUGAGUCUCGUAGAGGGGGGUAGAAUUCCAGGUGUAGCGGUGAAAUGCGUAGAGAUCUGGAGGAAUACCGGUGGCGAAGGCGGCCCCCUGGACGAAGACUGACGCUCAGG
rnacentral:rRNA from 1 species